AACUUUCAACAACGGAGCUCUUGGUUCUGGCAUCGAUGAAGAACGCAGCAAAAUGCGAUAAGUAAUGUGAAUUGCAGAAUUCAGUGAAUCAUCGAAUCUUUGAACGCACAUUGCGCCCGCCAGUAUUCUGGCGGGCAUGCCUGUUCGAGCGUCAUUU
rnacentral:rRNA from 1 species